AGUACAGUUCCUGGGUCAUAUGGUAAGGCAUGAUCAGUUUUAUAAGAAACUGCCCAAGUAUUUUCCAGAGUAGCUGCACCAUUUUACUUUUUCACCAGCAAA
rnacentral:pre_miRNA from 1 species